CAGACCUUACUCUUUGGAUCAUUUCUAUUAGUAUCGUCUAUUAAAAUUAUUCAUCAAUAAUUUUUCUCAAAAACCCCACGGAUGAAGAUGCACAUUCACUUUACAUAAGCGGGAAGCCGUGUAAUAGUUUUGAUUCUAUCAUUUCUAUUAUACAUUGAUGAUCGUCUAUCUCAGGGAUGAGAUGGUUGUAAGGUGAAAUUCUUACGUGG
rfam:Dictyostelium purpureum unplaced genomic scaffold DICPTscaffold_73, whole genome shotgun sequence.